rnacentral:rRNA from 1 species
GGUACGGGUUGUGAGAGCAAGAGCCCGGAGAUGGAUUCUGAGACACGAAUCCAGGCCCUACGGGGUGCAGCAGGCGCGAAAACUUUACAAUGCUGGCAACAGCGAUAAGGGAACCUCGAGUGCCAGGUUACAAAUCUGGCUGUCGAGAUGCCUAAAAAGCAUUGCAUAGCAAGGGCCGGGCAAGACCGGUGCCAGCCGCCGCGGUAACACCGGCGGCUCGAGUGGUAACCGUUAUUAUUGGGUCUAAAGGGUCUGUAGCCGGCCGGAUAAGUCUCUUGAGAAAUCCAGCAGCUCAACUGUUGGGCUUUCAGGAGAUACUGUCUGGCUCGAGGCCGGGAGAGGUGAGAGGUACUUCAGGGGUAGGGGUGAAAUCUUGUAAUCCUUGAAGGACCACCAGUGGCGAAGGCGUCUCACCAGAACGGACCUGACGGCAAGGGACGAAAGCUAGGGGCACGAACCGGAUUAGAUACCCGGGUAGUCCUAGCCGUAAACGAUACUCGCUAGGUGUCGGCCACGGUGCGACCGUUGUCGGUGCCGUAGGGAAGCCGUGAAGCGAGC